GACAAUUUGCCGCCGGGCAAACGCCUUAAUACCAUUCCAUCAGGCCUUAGAAGGAAUGGCGUUAGGGCGUUUUUUGUU
rnacentral:ncRNA from 1 species